GCAGCACAAAACAGAAGCCCACUUGCGCAAGCUUAAAUAAAAAGGGAGAAUUUAUGGGAAGAACAUGAGGCUAUCUCGGAGAUUCAAGGACAGGAAGUGCAGCCGGCCUCUGGGGACUGGAAGCAGCAACUGGGAAGCCAACAGGAGCUUUGGCAGCUCCGCAUGCUCCUUCUCUCCUCUCUCUGCUGCUACGAGGCCUAUACACAAAUGGGACCACAGCUGAUGGUGCAGCACUCUGCUCAGAUCAUCUGGAUCGCCCCACACACCUCCAAAGACACCUGCAGACGUUUUGCUCAAACCCUACCUCUUCCUGUAUCUCUCUGUGGGAGGACGCUCUCUGGCCAAGGAGCAUGCUCACUUGCACUUGGGGCUGGCUGGAAAUGCCAGGAAAUGAAUGCCCCACAGCCAACGAGGGGCAGGCAUGGGUGGAUAAGCACCCCAGCUUCCCUGUCCCUUGUUGGCAUGAUUCUGAGGCACGUUCCAUGCAGUCUGUCAGAGGACCCCCGUGGGAUUGCACCCCAGUUGCCACAGUGACACCUGCUCAUUUACACAACCUUCACUGGCUUCCCUCCCUGCCCCUCUCACUUCCCCACUCCCUCGUGUGCUGCCUGGAUCACCUCCCAAAUAAUGAUGAGCACCCAAGUUCUUGUCUCAAGGUCUGCUUUGGGGGAAACUCAACUAAUACAGGGAAAAUAUGGUCAUGCACUGCUCUGCACCUAACUUUUUUCAGCCAGCAAUAUGGCUUGCAGAUCUUUGUCUAUCAGCACAUAUUGGAGGACUGUUUAUUAUUCCAUCGUCUGGGUGUGCCAUAAUUAACUUAGCUCUUAACUCUUCUGAUGGACAUUUAGGUUGCUUCCAGUUUUGUGCUGUUAUGAACAGUGUGGCAAUGAGCAUCCCUAUGCAUGUGUCUUUCAGCGCAUGGGCAAGGAUAUCAGAAGAAUAACUUUCUAGAAGUAGAAUUGCAGGGUCAAAAGGUAAGGGAACAGUUUUAAUCAGGACCAAGGGGUUGGAGGUGGUGCUCUGAACUCAGUCUGGAGGUGACCGGAGUAGAACAGAGAACAAGCCUGGGUGAGUGGCUCAGGCUGGGACACCUUGUUUGCAGUGAGGGGACAGUGUACCUGAAGAGGGCUCACCCACCCAGAGACUCUCCUCAGAGGUCCCUGUGUAUUUUAGAGGGGACUUCUGUAUGCUCGGAGCCACUACAGCAGAAGGGCCUUCCCCCAGGGUCACUGUCUUCAAAAAGAUCCCCCUAUGAGCCCAUUUCACAUGUGUCUACAUCCUACUGCCACAUUUAUGCCAUAGUUGUUUUUCAAGCAAAAGUCCCCAGUUUUCAGAUGAAAAACAACUUGUUUUGAGAGCACGCACUACUGAGAUCUUCAAGCUCUUCCUUCGUGCUGACUGUUGAGAAGAAAUUACUUUUUAGGGUAGGAGGAAUUGGUGAGGAGGCUGGGAACGGAUCCAUGGUGCGCACGGCGAGUGUUUUCUGUAAUGUGGUCUCUCUGCCCACUCACGAACACUUACGGUGUUUACCUGAUCAUCAACCUGUUCCAAAAACAAAUUUUAAAAGCAUCAAAAUACUUCUUUGUUCCCCUCUCAAGUUAUUUGCUGCCUACUGGCUGUCUACUUGAUCUCGCCUUAAGAUGCAGAGAAAGGUGGUCCAGACCUUGCCCUUGGGACUGGAAAUACUGGAGAGAUGAGACAACAGGGGCUUGAAGCAGCUAUGGCGGCAACCUCCCAGAAAGUCAAGGUGAGGAAUGGGUGCCACACCUUCACACCCACACACAGAGAGAGAGAGAGAGAAAGAGAGAGAACACUCCACUCCCAGAUCUGAGCCCUGGUGGGAUUCUCUGAUGCCCACACCCCACCUGACUCAAACUCUACAGGAAGAGGACUGUCCUUCCUGCCCUUGGGGAAGGCCCAGGACUCACCUGUCCUUGGGCUGCAUAGGAACAACCCCACUUCUAGAGCUGUGAGUCCUGAGGUCUGGAGAGAGACACGGGAAAAGAAGUUGGUCCUCCCAGGUGCCCUAGCAGAAGCAGGAAGUUGAAUUUUGACCUUGUUGUAAAAGGCAUGAAGUUCAAGGGAGAUAUGAGGUCAGAAGUGAUUGGGAUGGAUGACAAUGCUGGCCAGAGUUCUCAAUGACUGAGUGCUUACCCCACUCAGUCAUUAAGUGCCAGGCCCGGGUAAUCCAAUAGCCCCAAGUCCUCUCCCUCAAUAUCCAAGUAAGGCCCCUGUGCCCAAAGGAUGUAUCUGAGAACUCUCAGACAUGCAUGGCCUCCAGGUAGCUGCAAACAACCUCCGUUCUCCAGCUCCCGCUGUCUCCAUCCCCUCAGUACCUCCUGACCAUCCUUCAUGCUCCAGCCUCCCCCGAAGCAGCAGAGCAGCUGGUUGUGAGCAGGGGCUCAGAGCCGGACAGCCUAGCUGGGAUCCCAGUGCUAACAGCUCUGGAGCAGCUCUGGGAACUUGGACAAGUUAUUUAACUGCCUUGUGCCUCAGUUUUCUCACUUGAAAAUAAUAGUACUUACUUCAUUUGCUUGUUAUGAGGGUCAAUAUUUGGGAAGUGAUUCUAACAGUGCCUGGCACACGGUAAACACAGAAAAUGUAUUUGCUGAAUAAAAAUGAUUGUAUGAUUCCCUUGCCCUUACAACAGCCUUGUGAGGUAGGUACUGUCAUUACCCGUUUCAUAGCUGAGUAGAUAAUGGCCUGAAGAGAUUAGCGCAAAGUCAGUUGCUUGCUUGUGGAGCUGAGAUUUGAACCCAGCUCUGUCUAACUGCUCCUAGCCCCAUACUGCCUUCAUGUACAAUAAAACUAUUUUAAAGUAGACCAGAAUUUUCUGUGCCUUACUCUGUCAGUGACCCUGCUCUAGGUUCAACUAAAAACACUGUUGCUUCUUUCACUAUGAAAAACAAUAUGGAGGUUUCUCAAAAAAUUAAAAACAAUAAUGCAGCAAUGCCACUUUUGGCAUGUUCAUGGCAUGUUGAUGGCAGCAGUAUGCACAAUAGCCAAGAAGUAGAUGCAACCCGAAUGCCUGUCAGUAGAUGAGUGGAUAAAGUAAAUGUGAUAGAUAUAUAGAAUGGAAUAGUAUUCAACCUGAAAAAGGAAGGAUAUCCUGUCACAUGCAGCAACACAGAUGAACCUUGAGGACAUUAUGCUAAGUCAAAUAAGCCAGGCACAUAAAGACAAAUACUGCAUGAUUCCAGUUAUAUGAGGGAUCUAAAGUAGUCAGACUCAUUGAAACAGAAAGCAGA